GAUCUGAGACGCAUCUGCAACCUACACUACAGCUCACAGCAGCACUGGAUCCUUAACCCACUGAGCAAGGGAUGGACCCACGUCCUCAUGGAUACUAGUAGGGUUCGUUAACCACUGAGCCACGAUGGGACCUCUGCAAAUGGUUUUUAAACUAUGCAGGCAGGAUUUCCUGUUGUGGCUCAGCGGAUUAAGAACCCAAACAGUAUCUAUGCGGAAGCCAGUUUGACCCCUGGCCUCGCUCAGUGGGUUAAGGAUCUGCACUGCCGUGAGCUGUGGUGUAAGUUGCAGACGUGGCUCAGAUCCCGUGUUGCAGCUCCAACUAGACCCCUAGCCUGGGAACUUCCACAUGCUGUGGGUGCAGCCCUAAAAAGCAAAAAUGAAUAAAUAAAAUCUGCAGGCCAAUCAGCACCUCUUACACAUGGUUCCAGGCUUCAGAACCAGUUUGGUACCUUUGACUAAGGAGAUAAAAUCCGAACGCCUCAGCCAGGGCCACUGAAAAACCUUCCCAGGUCUUUGCAGCCACCUUCAGAGGACAGUGCCAUUCUGUGGUAGUAAUCCAGUAACAACACUGCUGAACUCAGCAAGAAUUUUGAUUCCUUCCACUGAGGAUACAUUUUCAUCUGUCAAGGAGAGGGAACUUGGUAGGCCGGAAACAGGAGCCCCCAUUUAGAAGUUGAAUCGUGUGUGUGUGUGUGUGUCCCAGGCUCCCAGGCUCAGUUCUGUGGCACGCCCAGUGUCCUUAUUCACAUGGCACCCAGGCUUCAGUGUCCCGGACCCCUGGCAUUCCCACGGGCUCACACCCACUGUCAGUCACUCACCCUCCCUCUUCCUGUUCCAACAGAGGAAAAUUUCUAGCAUGGAGAAACACAACUGGAUCAUGUUAACCAUCCUUUCCAGCUAAUGAAUCCUAGAAAGAAAUAUGUGUUUCUUGAGGUUCCAUGUGUCAAAGUGAAAUUUGCUUUGCUCAUAGAUGUUUCGGGAUAACUUAGGUAAAUCAGCAUUUCUGUUUGGAAAGUCAGUGUUUACCAGUCAACUGUGUAACAGAGUUUCAAUCUGCAGAGUCAGUUUCCAGGAUAACUGAAAAGUUAUGAUCUUUCAGUUGAGGAGGGUGGUGGUGGUGGCAGAGCAGAGCACACCCUGAUGUCUCACCACAGCCCAGAUGUGCUAUUAAGUGACUGUAGACUUUGGACCCACCUCCGGAGUCUGUUUGGAGGUCAGUGGAGACAAUGCCACUUCCCAGGGCAGUGAGAGUGGAAGGAAACAUACAGAAGCUGCUGGACCUCCAAGCCCAAAACUCUUGACUGAAGCACUGAAUUAAACACCUUAAACCAUGUUUGAAAUUUGGAAUGUGUAAUAUUUAAAACAUGCUAUUUAGAAAAUGUUUUAUCUGUGGUGAUUUUUUUCCCCCAAAGAACUGUUGAAAAACAUUAUGUUGUUGAAUCCCCUCCCCACCUUUUUUUUUAGGGCUGAACCCUUGGCCUGGUAGGGAUCAAAUUGGAGCUGCCAGCCUACACCACAGCCACAGCAACUUGGGAUCUGAGCCGCAUCUGUGACCUACACUGCAGCUCAUGACAAUGCUGGAUCCUUAACCCACUGAGCAGGGCCAGGGAUCAAACUCACGUUCUCAUGGAUACUAGUUGGGUUCAUUACUGCUGAGCCACAAUGGGAAUUCCUGUUGCACCCUUGAUUAGAGGUUUUAUCCCCAUAGUUUUCCUGACUCAAGAGAGAAAAGGCUAUAAAAUUUUCACAAAGAAAGGUUAAGAGUGUCAAGGAACACAUCUGGAAAAAGGGAAACUUUUUAAAAAAAUGUGACUUAGAAGGUCCUUUUCUUCAUCUCUGUUUCUCAGGAGAGGUUCUGUUUCUGAGCCUAGGUAUUGAAGGAUGGACUCAGAGGCUGAGGCAGUGAUGUCAUUAUGUUGGUAAGAAUAGAUCUUUGCUGAGUAGGUGAGAGGUUGAGAUUUAAGAGAAAUUAGUCAAAUCGUUAUAGCGAAAACCAAUGGCCGAUCAUUUCUCACCUCGACCCAUAAAAUCAGAUUCAGAGUCACUGAGUGGUAUUAUAGCUGUAUCUUUUAAAGAGCUAAUUUUGUGCCUAUAAUAACUUCCAUAAUUAUACACAUUGGAAUAGUCAAAUCUCAGGCUUGGGGCCCAGCCAGCUAGUGGAGCCAUCAGAGGUGAUUUCUCCUGGAUGCGUCCCCACUGCAUGUGUAUUGAGUCUAGAGGUGGCAUCAAGGCUUGUCAGACCUGGGCUGCUGGGUUGGCAGGGCCACAGCUUUACACAAGGCAGCAAUUCUUUUAAAUCCUGUCCUCCUGCUCACAUCUGUCACUUAAGAGCAGUUUUACAGAGCAGGUGGCUCACUGCCCACAUUUUCUGCAAGACACACUUCUGGUACAGCUGCUGGGGAACAGCCCUGAGUCCACCUUUGGAGAGAAUGUGAACUGCAGCCCAAAGGUGAGAGCCUAACUUUGAGGAGAACUUGAGGUCAGGACAGGUGGCACUCAACGGAGGAAUUGUUCUAGAAACUAGAGGAAUACUCACUGUUGAAAAUGUGCAUUAGGGGCUUCUGGCAUAAAACAGCUCGGAUCUAGUGUUGCUGUGGCUGUGGUGUAGGCCAGCAGCUACAGCUCUAGUUUGACUCCUAGCCUGGGAACUUCCACAUGCUUCACAUAUGGCCCUACAAAGACAAACAAACAAACAAAAAUAAACUUGUUUAUGGUUCUUUCUUUCUCCUUCCUUCUUCUCUUCCUUCCUUCAUUCCUUUUGCCUUUUUUUUUUUUUUUUUUUUCUUUUUACAGCCACACUUGCAGCACAUGGAAUUUCACUUUCUUCAUCUCAGGAUUUGACUAUACACUGCAGAGAGACCCUGUAAAUUGGCCACAAGCUGAGGUCGCUGCCCAUGGGCUAAGAUUUUACUCUUAAAACCUUCUCAGACUUUGCAAACUCCAGGUCCGCUACCUGCCUGUCCAGAGUCUCCUCAAGUAUUUGUGGCUGCUUGGGCUCCACCCAGACCUCAAGAGGGGAACUGCAGAGGAUAGAUGGGGCGACAGGAGCUGGGGAGGGGGGGACUGAUAACCAUGCAUGCGGGGGUGGGGUGUGUGUGUGGGGGGGUGGAGAACUGAGCUUGACUUUGGGGUGGCAGUCUCAGGCCAUGGACGGGUCUGAACCUAUGCAGCUGGCCCCAGGGCUAGUUCCCCCUCUGGAAAGAGCCCCCUCCUUUGGGGAUAUGACUUCCACCCUACCCCUAGGACACAGAGGGAACCUGGGUGGCAAGGGAAUGAUGGCUACCCUCACAAAAUAAGACUUCCUGCCAACCCUUAAAGAACAAGUGUUGACCAUAACCUUGGAGCUUGUCUUUUCACCACAUGAUGUAAAUUCUUAAAGGGUUGGAGCAUAGCAAGUAAUCCACCAACUUUAAGGUUAUUAUUUACAAAUCCAUCUUAGAAAUUCUAAUCAAUUCCAUUAUAUGAGAAGAAUGUGCUGAAUCCCCAAAGUCACUUACUUUAAAAAUCCUUCAUAUUUGAAUGUUCAUCCUAACAUGUCAAUUACUGAAUAAACUAGGAACAUUAAAUUUUACUUUUUUCUUUUUAGCACCACACCAGUGGCAUAUUGAAGUUUCCAGACUAGGGGUUGAAUUGGAGCUACAGCAGCAAGUUUAGGCCACAGGCACGGCAACGCCACAUCUGCGAUCUACACUGCAGCUUGCAGCAAUGCCAGAUCCUUAACCCACUGAGCAAGGCCAGGGCUUGAACCUGCAUCCUCACAGUUACCAGUUGGGUUCUUAACCUGCUGAGCCACAGUGGGCACUCCCAAUGUUAAAUUUUUUUUAAAGCUUGUGUACUUUGGGUUUUAAACAUCCAGAUUCUCAUCUUCAGGUAAGGUAAAUUUAUGCAUGUGAUUCCAGAAAAAAAGAACUGUAUUCAUUGUGGCAAUUCCUAUAUUGGAAUAACAUUGGCUUAUAUGCAGGGAUUGUUAUGUUACAUGAUAACUUCUAAAGAUUCUGCUUAAAGAAAUGUAAAUUUUAGGCUGACCUAACACUGUGUUUUUAUGAGUUUGGAGGAAAAGGUCCUACUAAUUGGUUCUCUGCAGUCAGAGAUUUCUGUCAAUUUUAGGAGGUAAUUCACAUGGCAAAUGUCAGAAAAUUGCUCACACACAUUCAAGGGAGGCACCACAGCUGGAGGCGUUAUGGGCUUAGGUUUGCCAAUUGUGAGUAUGUAACCCCAGGCAAGUGACCUAACAUUUCUAUCCCCCAGUUUCCUCAUCUGCAAAAUGUGGAAGAAGAAAAAAGAAAGAAGGAAGAAGGAAGAAGGAAGAAGAGGAAGAGGAAGAGGAAGAAGAAGAACUUACCUCAACAGGUCCUUGGGAGAAUUAAACCAAGGAUCCGGGUUAAGGUGCUUAGAGCCCUUAGUGCCGAGAUGCUUGCUAUUGUUUGCUGCUAACACAAAGGUCUUCUAGGAGCCCGUGAGAGCAUGUGUAAAUUCCUGGGCCAGGGAUUGAACCUGUGCAACAGCAGCAAUCCAAGCUGCUGCGCUGACAAUGCCAUAUCCUUAACCUGCUGCGCCACAAGGAAACUCCAGCAAAUGCCUUUUUUAGGGAAGAGGGCAGCAGAAAGAUGGGGACAGGACAUCAGAAAAUGCUAUGAUUGUUUUUUAUUUUGACAAGAGUAACAAGGAAUCCCCCUACCACUCCGCUUCAUGUAAAAACACGUCUGGCAUCGUGAGCAGCAGUCCUCAGCGGAAGGUGACUGAGCCCCAGGAGCCCAGAAAGAAUCUUCAGCCACUGCUUCUGUGCUCCCUUCCUGUGUUCAGAGCCACUGGCCAUGACCACAGAUUCACCUUCUGAUUCUGUCUUGUUCUCUCUCUUUUUAUCUCUUUCAAGGCUUCAGUAAUACAGCAGAAGGAUCACUGUGUUGAAAGCAAGGACAAUCCUCAUAAGCAUAACCUUGGGGUGAACUCAGGAAGGCACACAAUAAAUUAAAGCAGACCCUGUCUCUUCGGAGGGUGUGCAGUGACCUCCAGGGUGGAGGCCAGAUCUGUCAGCACAGGUGUGGUGCUGGGGCCGCUGUGGGGAGGGGGAGCCCCUCCUUUAGGCAGUCGUGUGGCCCACAGGCCGAGCCAUCGGUAGGACCGAGUCCUCCCUUCUGCUCCUGCGCAGCCAGAAGGAGGAUGGUCCCCAUGGUGCUUGCUGGAGCCACAGCAGGGUUUGCACAAACCAUCUGGAUGGACGCCCCUCUUGAGCACUGGUGGCAAUUAGUCCACAGGACGCCCUCUACUGUUGACCUCAGUAAAUCACUUGGCAAACAUAAAACUGGAGGUUCUUGCUCAGUAAAACAAUAAAGUGCUUUUGA
rnacentral:lncRNA from 1 species